GUGGGGAAUAUUGGACAAUGGGCGCAAGCCUGAUCCAGCCAUACCGCGUGGGUGAAGAAGGCCUUCGGGUUGUAAAGCCCUUUUGUUGGGAAAGAAAUCCUGUCGAUUAAUACUCGGUGGGGAUGACGGUACCCAAAGAAUAAGCACCGGCUAACUUCGUGCCAGCAGCCGCGGUAAUACGAAGGGUGCAAGCGUUACUCGGAAUUACUGGGCGUAAAGCGUGCGUAGGUGGUGGUUUAAGUCUGCUGUGAAAGCCCUGGGCUCAACCUGGGAAGUGCAGUGGAUACUGGAUCACUAGAGUGUGGUAGAGGGAUGCGGAAUUUCUGGUGUAGCAGUGAAAUGCGUAGAGAUCAGAAGGAACAUCCGUGGCGAAGGCGGCAUCCUGGGCCAACACUGACACUGAGGCACGAAAGCGUGGGGAGCAAACAGGAUUAGAAACCCGGGUAGUCC
rnacentral:rRNA from 1 species